UACGUAGGGCGCAAGCGUUAUCCGGAAUUAUUGGGCGUAAAGAGCUCGUAGGCGGUUUGUCGCGUCUGCCGUGAAAGUCCGGGGCUCAACUCCGGAUCUGCGGUGGGUACGGGCAGACUAGAGUGAUGUAGGGGAGACUGGAAUUCCUGGUGUAGCGGUGGAAUGCGCAGAUAUCAGGAGGAACACCGGUGGCGAAGGCGGGUCUCUGGGCUGACACUGACGCUCAUGCACGAAAGCGUGGGGAGCAAGCAGG
rnacentral:rRNA from 1 species